rnacentral:rRNA from 1 species
GGGCGAGCGUUAAUCGGAAUUACUGGGCGUAAAGAGCGUGUAGGUGGAUAAUCAAGUCGGAUGUGAAAGCCCCGGGCUUAACCUGGGAACUGCAUACGAAACGGGUUAUCUAGAGUGUGGCAGAGGUAAGUGGAAUUCCCGGUGUAGCGGUGGAAUGCGUAGAUAUCGGGAGGAACACCAGUGGCGAAGGCGACUUUCUGGGCCAACACUGACACUGAGACGCGGAAGCGUGGGUAGCGAACAGGAUUAGAUACCCUGGUAGUCCACGCCGUAAACGAUGAGAACUAGCUGUUGGGAUUUUUAGAAUCUUAGUAGCGUAGCUAACGCGUUAAGUUCUCCGCCUGGAGAGUACGGCCGCAAGGCUAAAACUCAAAGGAAUUGACGGGGGCCCGCACAAGCGGUGGAGCAUGCGGUUUAAUUCGAUGCAACGCGAAGAACCUUACCUACCCUUGACAUUAUUGGAAUCUUCCAGAGAUGGGAGAGUGCCUUCGGGAGCCAAUGAACAGGUGCUGCAUGGCUGUCGUCAGCUCGUGUCGUGAGAUGUUGGGUUAAGUCCCGUAACGAGCGCAACCCUUAUCCUUAAUUGCCAGCGAGUCAAGUCGGGAACUUUAAGGAGACUGCCGGUGAUAAACCGGAGGAAGGUGGGGACGAGGUCAAGUCAUCAUGGCCCUUACGGGUAGGGCUACACGCGUGCUACAAUGGUCAGUACAAGGGGUUGCGAAGCGGCGACGUGAGCUAAUCCCAUAAAACUGAUCUCAGUCCGGAUGGAGUCUGCAACUCGACUCCAUGAAGUUGAAAUCGCUAGUAAUCGUGAUCAGACGCCACGGUGAAUACGUUCUCGGGCCUUGUAC